CACGUAGGAGGCGAACGUUAUCCGGAUUUACUGGGCGUAAAGCGCGUGUAGGUGGUUUGGUAAGUAAGGCGUGAAAGCUCCUGGCUCAACUGGGAGAGGCCGUUCUAAACUGCCGAACUAGAGGAUGGUAGAGGGAGGUGGAAUUCCGGGUGUAGCGGUGGAAUGCGCAGAUAUCCGGAGGAACACCAGUGGCGAAAGCGGCCUCCUGGACCACUCCUGACACUCAGACGCGAAAGCUAGGGUAGCAAACGGG
rnacentral:rRNA from 1 species